rnacentral:rRNA from 1 species
UAAAAAUGUAAUAUUUAAAGACUUAAUUAUUAAUAGUUAUAUACUUUAAAUUUAAAAUAUAUGGCGGUAUUUUAGACUUUUCAGAGGAACCUGUUUUUUAAAUCGAUAAUCCACGUGAAAAUUUACUUAAAUUAGAAGUUUAUAUAUCGUUGUGAAAAUAUUUUUAUAGAAUUUAAAUAUUUAAAAUUUUUUUUAAUAAAUUAUUCAAAUCAAGAUGUAAUUUAUAUUUAAGAUUAAAUGGGUUACAAUAAAUUAAAGUUAUUGGAUUAUAAAUUUGAAAUUUAUAUGAAAAUGGAUUUGAUAGUAAUAAAAUUUAUUUAUUUUUUAUGAUUUAGCUCUAUAAUAUGU